AUUGAACGCUGGCGGCAGGCCUAACACAUGCAAGUCGAGCGAGCGGCGGACGGGUGAGUAAUGUCUGGGAAACUGCCUGAUGGAGGGGGAUAACUACUGGAAACGGUAGCUAAUACCGCAUACCAUCAGAUGUGCCCAGAUGGGUUAAGCUAGUAGGUGGGGUAACGGCUCCCCUAGGCGACGAUCCCUAGCUGGUCUGAGAGGUUGACCAGCCACACGGGAACUGAGUCACGGUCCAGACUCCUACGGGAGGCAGCAGUGGGGAAUAUUGCAGAAUGGGCGAAAGCCUGAUACAGCCAUGCCGCGUGUGUGGAGAAGGCCUUCGGGUUGUAAAGCACUUUCAGCGGGGAGGCGUUACCCGCAGAAGAAGCACCGGCUAACUCCGUGCCAGCAGCCGCGGUAAUAC
rnacentral:rRNA from 1 species